GUCGAAAACAACGUUGUGCGGGAACCCUGCGUUGUUCUUGAACACGAUCUUUUCCCCAGAGGGAACGGAGAACUCGCUGGGAACGAACACCAAAGAGCCGUCACCGCUACCAAGCAAGACUUCAAGGGCCAUGGCAUUGCUGGCGAGAACGGCGCUGGCGGCGGUGGCCACAACUGCGGCUCCAAGGUCUUUGAGGGAAGCCUUGAUGCCGAAGCGUGGGGCCUGGGGAACUGAGACUUUAACUGCGGCAGCACUCACUUUGGUUGGUCCACUCGCCUUGAGGCCGGUGAAUGAGGGAAUAGCGACGGCUGCGGAGGUGACGGCGGCCAUGUUUGUCUGUGAAGGAAGGUCUGGCGAGUGAGGUUGGUGUGUGGAAUGGGAAAUCAAAAUGGAGAAAAGCGAAGGUUAUUUCUUAUAGAGUGAGAAAAUGGAGAAAAGUGUGGAUUGGUUUUUG
rnacentral:lncRNA from 1 species